GAACGCUAGCUACAGGCUUAACACAUGCAAGUCGAGGGGCAGCAUGGUCUUAGCUUGCUAAGGCCGAUGGCGACCGGCGCACGGGUGAGUAACGCGUAUCCAACCUGCCGUCCAGUAGGGGACAGCCCGUAGAAAUGCGGAUUAAUACCCUAUGUUCUCCGAGGAUGACAUCAGAUUCGGAGUAAAGAUUCAUCGCUGGACGAUGGGGAUGCGUCUGAUUAGGCAGCAGGCGGGGCAACGGCCCACCUGGCCGACGAUCAGUAGGGGUUCUGAGAGGAAGGUCCCCCACAUUGGAACUGAGACACGGUCCAAACUCCUACGGGAGGCAGCAGUGAGGAAUAUUGGUCAAUGGGCGCGAGCCUGAACCAGCCAAGUAGCGUGAGGGAUGACUGCCCUACGGGUUGUAAACCUCUUUUGUUCGGGAAUAAAGUGCGGCACGCGUGCCGUUUGUAUGUACCGUUCGAAUAAGGACCGGCUAAUUCCGUGCC
rnacentral:rRNA from 1 species